rnacentral:tRNA from 1 species
GCGGCUGUAGGUUAAUGGUAGACCAACCGUCUUCCAAAUGGUUUGUAUCAGUUCGAUUCUGAUUAGCCGUA